rnacentral:rRNA from 1 species
GGGACACGUGGUAUCCUGUCUGAAUAUGGGGGGACCAUCCUCCAAGGCUAAAUACUCCUGACUGACCGAUAGUGAACCAGUACCGUGAGGGAAAGGCGAAAAGAACCCCGGCGAGGGGAGUGAAAAAGAACCUGAAACCGUGUACGUACAAGCAGUGGGAGCCUCUUUUAUGGGGUGACUGCGUACCUUUUGUAUAAUGGGUCAGCGACUUAUAUUCUGUAGCAAGGUUAACCGAAUAGGGGAGCCGAAGGGAAACCGAGUCUUAACUGGGCGUUAAGUUGCAGGGUAUAGACCCGAAACCCGGUGAUCUAGCCAUGGGCAGGUUGAAGGUUGGGUAACACUAACUGGAGGACCGAACCGACUAAUGUUGAAAAAUUAGCGGAUGACUUGUGGCUGGGGGUGAAAGGCCAAUCAAACCGGGAGAUAGCUGGUUCUCCCCGAAAGCUAUUUAGGUAGCGCCUCGUGAAUUCAUCUCCGGGGGUAGAGCACUGUUUCGGCAAGGGGGUCAUCCCGACUUACCAACCCGAUGCAAACUGCGAAUACCGGAGAAUGUUAUCACGGGAGACACACGGCGGGUGCUAACGUCCGUCGUGAAGAGGGAAACAACCCAGACCGCCAGCUAAGGUCCCAAAGUCAUGGUUAAGUGGGAAACGAUGUGGGAAGGCCCAGACAGCCAGGAUGUUGGCUUAGAAGCAGCCAUCAUUUAAAGAAAGCGUAAUAGCUCACUGGUCGAGUCGGCCUGCGCGGAAGAUGUAACGGGGCUAAACCAUGCACCGAAGCUGCGGCAGCGACGCUUAUGCGUUGUUGGGUA